CCUACGGGAGGCAGCAGUGGGGAAUAUUGGACAAUGGGCGCAAGCCUGAUCCAGCAAUGCCGCGUGAGUGAUGAAGGCCUUAGGGUCGUAAAGCUCUUUUACCAGGGAUGAUAAUGACAGUACCUGGAGAAUAAGCUCCGGCUAACUCCGUGCCAGCAGCCGCGGUAAUACGGAGGGAGCUAGCGUUGUUCGGAAUUACUGGGCGUAAAGCGUACGUAGGCGGUUAUUCAAGUCAGAGGUGAAAGCCCGGGGCUCAACCCCGGAACGGCCUUUGAAACUAGGUAGCUAGAAUCUUGGAGAGGUCAGUGGAAUUCCGAGUGUAGAGGUGAAAUUCGUAGAUAUUCGGAAGAACACCAGUGGCGAAGGCGACUGACUGGACAAGUAUUGACGCUGAGGUACGAAAGCGUGGGGAGCAAACAGGAUUAGAUACCCUGGUAGUCCACGCCGUAAACGAUGAUAACUAGCUGUCCGGGCACUUGGUGCCUGGGUGGCGCGAGCUACGACAUAAGUUAUACCGUCCGUCGGGUAGGUACGGUCGCGAGAUUAAAACGUUAAAACGGUAAAGUUAGUACGGCGUGAGACGUGCCGACGGACGACCGACCGAGGGAGGUAGG
rnacentral:rRNA from 1 species